AUGCCCAAAAAUACACAUUUCUGGUAAGGAGAAGAGAAAUCCCCCCGAGCCCUCUCUCCAAGUUGCUGCAUUGGGAUGGUGACAAAUUUCAAUGGCAAAAGCCAGGAGUGCAGUAAAUCUGACAGGACUGGCAGCAUCCCAUCGGGAACCGGCUGUGCCCAAAACACCAAAAUCAUCAUCUCAUGCUUUUGUGCAGGCACCUGGGGAACCCCCUGGGCCAAGAGGCAGCAGCACUGUGUGGUGCCACCAGGGCGAGUUGAUGUGUUCAGGCUGUUUAAGGCCAUCAGGCAACGAGAGAUCAAUGGCUGUGCAGUUACAGAUGAACAGGAGACAGUGAUAUGCUGGUGGUGUUGCUUUGUCAGCAAGUAAAGAGGGAAGAUGAGCCGGGAAGCAAUGGGGGAGCCUCUGGACCCUGCAUGGGGAAUGGGAGAUCUCAGGGUCCUCUGCCACGGAUUCUCAGAGAACAAAUAAACAGGGGAAAAUCUCCUAAGAGCUGAAGCCUUAUUAAGAUCUUAAAAGCAAAUCAAGUUUUUCACAAGCUGCAGGAAAAGAAGCCAGCUAAGUGUUCUCCAGGUGAAAUUAGGGAAGAUUUUUCUGCCAGAAAGUUAUUGCUGAGGACAGCAUGAACACAGUUACAGAGCCAGGCUUGGGCUGAGAGGGACAUCUGUACUCUGGAUAAAACAGAGCAGCUCUUCCUCACAAGGUAGGAGGGGAAAGGGAAUCUUCAGCAAUAUCAAAGCAUCUGGCUGAGGGGAUGUCAGCUGUUUUGUUUUCAGGAUGCAGCACUCUUUCCCUGGGAUGAAAAGAAUUCAGUAUAAUAUUAACUGAUGUGCAGUGAAAUGAACCACAGGAAUACAAACAAAGUGGCUUUUUCCAUAUCAAGAUGAGACAUUUCAGUGCUGUGGAAACCAUGGUGCUGUUGGUGAAAAAUAUCAACAAGUGACACAGGCAAACUG